CCUGAGUGUACAAGACAGUUUUUCUGAUGCCUUCACAAAAGAAAAAUAACUUCUUGACAAAGGAUAAAAAUCUUAUGUCACAAGUACAAUAUAAUUUAUACAAUUAUAUUUAUUUAAUUUAUAUAAGUCUUUUAUAUAAUUUAUAUAAAUUCUUAUUUAUAUAAUUUAUAUAAUGUAUUUAUAAUUCUUACUUCAUUUCUUCUGAUACCUAAUGUAACCCCCCAAAAUCUCAAACCAGUUUGAGCUUUGAUCUCUUUUGAAGGAUUGUCUCUCUUUUACCCAAAUAGGUUUAGAAUUGUUUUGUUGGACCCCUCUUACAAAUACCUUUUUUUUUUUUUUUUUAGUAUUUCAGACUCAGAAAAAAAGCUGCAAGAAUAAGAUUAGUAAAAAGAACACCCAAAUACCUUUAAGGCAGAUUCACCCCUCACUGGCGUUUGGUCCCACCUCUCUUUGUUCUCAAUCUCUUUCCGCAUAACGCGCACACGCAGGCGCGCAGAGGCACGCAGCACGCACGCACAGACGCACACAGACGCGCACAGACGCACACAGACGCGCACGGACGCACACGUGCAAGCAUGUGCGCAGACACGCAUAGGCGCGCACACGCACCUUUUCCCCGAAGCGCUCGUGGGUAAGUUAUGUGCCUUUUACCCCGAACUACUUCAUCGAGUCGCCUAAGACGAGGGAGACUCUGUUUUCAACUUCAAUAAUUUAACACUAUACUUCUCAAGCGCCGACCGCGUGGCAGACCGGAGUCCAG